rnacentral:lncRNA from 1 species
UUUUUUUUUUUUUGGAAUACUGUCUCUGUUGUUAGAACUAUGAUGAAUUGAUCCACAUUUCCCUAUUUAAUGAGGAUGUUGUCUCCUGAAAUUCCAACUAUUUUAUGCCGAGGAUAGUGCAGGAGUCUGACUGACCAGGUGCACAGUAAAGAUCCCACCUGAGCAGGGGCACACGGGGGAGAUCCCGCCUGAGCAGGUGCACCCGGGGAGAUCCCGCCUGAGCAGGUGCACCCGGGGAGAUCCCGCCUGAGCAGGUGCACCCGGGGAGAUCCUUCCUGAGCAGGUGCACACGGGGAGAUCCUUCCUGAGCAGGUGCACCGGUGGAGAUGGACAGGGAUCUUCAUGUAUCUCUCGGAAUUAGUUAGACAUUCGUUUCCAAAUCCAUCAGGGAAUCAGUGAAGAGGGACUUAAGGAAGAUUUCUAGUGAUGACGAUUGAAGGAGAUGCCUGAGCGCAGAUUUGAGUCUCAUACGAACACGCGCCGGACGGUCCCCUGCACAGAAGGCUUUCAGCAGGGAGCUCCUCCUCGGCGGGGGCUGGUGAGCGUGGGACGGGGGGCCGUGGGUUGGCACAGUGAGCCCGGCUCUCCUCCCCCACUGUCUGCUGCUUGCUGUGUGGACACAGGAGGCCCCCCUACAGGUCGGCUCCUGGCAGGGACCCUGUCCUGGUGGCAUCGCCAGAAACUGCAAGCCUGGUCCUCACCGGGUUCCUCUGGGUCACUCACACUGUGAUGUCUUGACUCGUCACUGAAAUUUCAUGUAAAACAUCAUUCCUGAGGACACCACUUAUUUAUAGCAAAAAAGUAAAGCCAUGUUGGACCCAGUGGUCUGACCAUGUACCGUGGUACUGGAGUGAUCCUAUAAUUUAUCAUCCCAAACGGGGCCGUUUGAACACAAAGGAGGCUGCUAUUAGUAGUCAUUUCCGCGGCAGGGUGUAACCCAGCAUUUUCCAGGGUAGGCCAGGACAUGCAGCCGUCCUGGUUCCUCCUAACACCUGGCCUCCGAGCCGUGACAUGCGCAUUGAUGGAAACGCGGGAGUGCAGCUGCCUGCGAAGGGAGGGGAUGCCCGGCGGCCUCGGGAGGCUGGGCCGUAGGCGAUGCGGGGUUGUUUCUUCCUGACCCGUGGCACGGGGUCUGGGCUCGCGCUGAGGGACACGGACGCGCACCCUUCCCUGCUGCCCCCCAUCAUCGGCGAGACGGCCGCUUCUGUGCUCACAGCCGGUGUCCUGCUGGCCUGUAGCUUUUGACUUUCACUAAAGAAAGUACCAAAUCCUCACUGUAAGAUUUUAAGAUGACCGAGGGAUAUUGAAUAGGGAGAUCUUAAUACACAAGUAAUGGAAAUGAAAUUCAAAUUACAAAUAUCCAAAUCAAAGGCAAAUGAGAAAUGUCAUAGUCUGGGGCACCCGGGUGGCUCAGCAGUUGAGCGUCUGCCUUCAGCCCAGGGUGUGACUCUGGGGUCCUAGGAUCGAGUCCCACAUUGGGCUCCCUGCGGGGAGCCUGCUUCUCCCUCUGCCUUCGUCUCUGCCUCUCUCUCUGGGUCUCUCAUGAAUAAAUAAAUCUUAAAAAAAAUAUGGUCUUUUUAAAAUCCCAAAUUCACAUAGUACACUUAAAGAAAUGAAUCAAUGUCGACUGUUCUUCAAUCUGCAGCCCUGCUCUCUGACUUCACAUCCUAUCGUGCUGUUUCUCGGACCGCGGUGUGGACGGCUGUGACCUUUGCUCCAGCUCGGAUCACUCCAAGCAAAGGUCAGGCUUUGUGUUACGCUCCCUGCGUGACUGCAGGGCCUCAGCGACACGCAGGGGAUGAAGGAGACGGCCUGGGGCGGGCGGGUCCCUGUGCGCAGAGCCGGGAGUCUCAGCUGCAUCCUGAUGCGAGACACACGCCCCAUUGCCCUCAGCUGGAAGGUCCUCCUCUCCUGCCUCGUUUGCACUUUUGUGCACAGCCUCUGCCCACUAGGAAAGCCUGCCAGUCUCUGGGGAGCCAACACAUUUCAGUUGUCUCUACAGGUGUGUGGCUGGAGUGUGCCUGGGGACGGCGUGGAGAGAGCAUCCUGGAGCGAGAACGGGGCAGAAGAGGGGCAAGACUCCUCCAGCUCUGGGAACAGAGAAUGGGCGCCGGCUGCUCAGUGCUAGGCCCUGGCCUUCCAGACGUAAGUGAAGAUGCAGACUUCUCCUGCAGGGAAACCACACGUAACCAGACUGAACGAGGAACACGUGGCUCUCCCCCGAGGCCCCGGGGAGCCCGCCUCAGAAGCCUCGACUGUCACACAGAGAAACUUGUCUCCAGGUGGCCCUCGAAUCCGUGACCGACCCCAUGUCUGAACGCGCCGUUCGUUGCUCUGCUUCGUAGGGAAGCUGCCGUCACAGGAAGCGCGAGUCCCAGCAUGUUUGCUUUUGCACCACCGGGGCCGCGAAGGGGCCGCAGACACGCUGCCGCAGGACCACGAGUGGGCAGUGUGCGGAGGGGGCCGUGAGCAAAAGAAGACUGUUUUGGGGGUGUUUCUUGGUGAUUGUGUGCUUUUAAGCAAUAAUUGAAGAGAGCUUCAAUGACCACCCCGCGUCCGGGAAUCUGCGAGGCUCCCGGGGGGCCUCCAGUCUCACGCUGUGGCCCGCAGUUUCUGCGAGUGGCGGCUGCAGGAGAGGCUGGCACGGGCUCGGGCACGGACCACGGGUGCCAGUGUGCCGGGCGACAGGGCGUGUCCGGGUCCAGCGGGGUUGACCUUGUUUCCAAAGGGAAAGCUUCAAAUGGGCCCCGUGCCC